UACGUAGGGGGCGAGCGUUGCCCGGAUUCACUGGGCGUAAAGCGCGUGUAGGCGGUCCGCAAAGUCGGUUGUGAAAUCUCCGCGCUCAACGCGGAAACUGCGACCGAUACUUGCGGACUUGAGGGCGGUAGAGGUCGGUGGAAUGUGCGGUGUACCGGUGAAAUGGGUAAAUAUCGCACGGAACACCAGUGGCGAAGGCGGCCGACUGGGCCGUUCCUGACGCUGAGACGCGAAAGCCAGGGGAGCGAACCGG
rnacentral:rRNA from 1 species